CCCGCUGAACUUAAGCAUAUUAUUAAGCGGAGGAAAAGAAACUAACAAGGAUGCCCUCAGUAACGGCGAGUGAGGCGGGCAAAGCUCAACCUGAAAAUCGGUUUCCCGAAAGGGAUACUGAAUUGUGGGCUGCCGACAUGUGAUCAGUGUGUGACCCAGGUAUAAAUCUCUUUGAAACGAGGUAUCAUAGAGGGUGAGAAUCCCGUCUGUGACUUGGAGUAAAUCAUCGCCACGUACGAUCUGUGUUCAUAGAGUCGCGUUGUUUGGGAUUGCAGCGCUAAAUGGGUGGUAAAUUUCAUCUAAAGCUAAAUAUCGACGAGAGACCGAUAGCGAACAAGUACCGUGAGGGAAAGAUGAAAAGAACUUUGAAAAGAGAGUUAAAAAGUACUUGAAAUUGCUAAGAGGGAAGCACUGAAAACCAGAAAUUAAUUACAAUUCAUAUGUAUAUUUACCAUUCGCUUCUGGAUCGUGGUUACCCAGAGUGUUUCACGACCUGCUGAGGACCAUGUGAAGGUGUGGGUGGGACCUGUACUGUGGAUUGUGUCAAAAUGAAUUACGUCCGUGAGAGAAAGCUAUUGCGUCGGUAGGAGGACGGUAGCAAUAUCGUAUCUCUGUUUAGUGCAGUAGUGCUAUCAAUGGGUGUGAUUGAGGAAACGAAAGGCGCGCCAUUGGGUUUUCGAUGCAGCAUGAUCUGGUAGAUGAGGCGGCGUGGACAACAAAGUUGUGCUGUUGCUGAAGUUCUACUACUGUCUAGCUCGCAUCAGAAGCAGCCUUAGAGACUUUUGACUUAAUGGUUUUCAUUGACCCGUCUUGAAACACGG
rnacentral:rRNA from 1 species